rnacentral:rRNA from 1 species
AUUGAACGCUGGCGGCAUGCUUUACACAUGCAAGUCGAACGGCAGCGCGGGCUUCGGCCUGGCGGCGAGCGGCGAACGGGUGAGUAAUGCAUCGGAACGUGCCCAGUAGUGGGGGAUAGCGCGCCGAAAGCCGGAUUAAUACCGCAUACGACCUGAGGGUGAAAGCGGGGGACCGAAAGGCCUCGCGCUAUUGGAGCGGCCGAGGUCGGAUUAGCUAGUUGGUGGGGUAAAGGCUUACCAAGGCGACGAUCCGUAGCUGGUCUGAGAGGACGACCAGCCACAGUGGGACUGAGACCCGGCCCAGACUCCGACGGGAGGCAGCGGUGGGAAUUUUGGGACAAUGGGGGCAACCCUGAUCCAGCCAUGCCGCGUGCGGGAAGAGGGCCUUCGGGUGGUAAACCGGUUUUGUUAGGGAAGAAAGCAUCUGGGCUAAUACCCCGGGGGGAUGACGGUACCGGAAGAAUAAGCACCGGCUAACUACGU